rnacentral:sRNA from 1 species
UCAAGCAGCGAGUAGGCUGGUCAGGCCGUAGCGGUUAGCACUGUCCUCAUCCGUUGGUUCUCUUCUUGAAUGUCCUCCGGGCGAUACGCCCGACUUUCAUAUGACAUCAAGGAAACAGACAUGAGUACAGGUACCGUAAAGUGGUUCAACGACGCCAAGGGCUUCGGCUUCAUCACGCCCGACGACGGCAGCAAGGAUCUUUUCGUGCAUUUCUCGUCGAUCCAGGCGAGCGGGUUCAAGACCCUGAAGGAGAACGACAAAGUGCAGUACGAGGUCGAGCAGAGCCCCAAGGGCCCUCGUGCAGGCAACAUCAAGCCGGUGUAACGCGCCGGCGACUGAAAGAGGCCCGGACUCCCGGGCUUUUUCAUU